GUGAACUGUGUCCCCUCAAAUAUACAGAUGAACAGUAACAAAUUUUAGUGGGUUGGAUGUGAAUGCUCUGAGAGUGUGUGUAUAGUUGCGGGGCAAACGCAGCAGGAAAACGGGUCUAGCCGGUUUCGUGAAAAGGGUCUAGCCCGUCGUUGCGGGGCAAACGCAGCAGGAAAACGGGUUGUUCGGGACAACAUGUGGCUGUUUGAGUAUGUUAUACAUCAGAAGACGAAGACCGGGAGGGUGUUCUAGUCAGGCGUUGUCGCGGCAGGAAGUACCGGUUCGGACGACGGGGUGACGGGUGAACACCGGCGUGUUCCAUGUUAUUCCUGAAAAAGAAAAGGAGACAUGUGAUGUUUUAUCACAAGUUUUAUAAUCCUUGAUCGAGUUGUUCGUGAUAAGACGAGACCGACGUAGUUGCGUGAAAAACGGGCGUAAAAGAUCCGUCAAAGCAGGUGGCUUUGGAUUUGGUUCGUUUAGUGGGUUGAAAGAAAACAGUAUAAGGCAGUGUAGCUUUGUUUUCUUUGUCGGUGGAGUGGCCUCUUAAACAAAGGCGGUCGUAAAAAGGAAGAUAUUGGAGAAGAACACGGUGUGACAUUAUGGCGUUGGAGUUCAAGUCGGGUGGCUUUGGAUUUGACCGAGGAGAGGUCGUUGAUCCGUGAAAAGUCGUGAUGUUAUUGUACGUUUCCAGCGGGAUGCCAUGUGACAUGGUACAAGUGUGGUGAAGUUGAUUCGGGUUGAACCUAGAAGACUUUGGAUAUGAUCGUGGUUGAGGUCGGUGUCCAGUAGAAGUCGAGAUGGUCGAGAGGAGACGGUGAUUCGGGUGUCGUGAACGAGUGGUGUGAACAAACCGAUUAAGGGGGUGAUUGUUGGAUUAAUUGGGUUCGUUCACGGGUUAGAUCGGUCGCGAGUUACGGGUUUUACUUCGGUCAUCGGGUUGCAGAUAAGGAAGUUAAUGAACCAGGGGUAGAUUGGUCAUUUAGUGCAUUAUGUUUAGGUAACUGGUAGAAGAUUUGGUCUAGGAUUGACUGAGUAAAGUGGGAAAAAUGUGGAUGUGAUCAUGUGAACGUUGGGGUCAGUUGCUUAAAAUCUGUAAGAAGUGGAUUGAGUUAUUAUCCAUGCGCAUGUAUUUGUUUAUUAUAAAUAGUAGAGUUAAUUGUUUUGUUAUGUACCUUUCAUUUUGAAAUAUUCAGUGAGUGAGUUCGGAAGAAUCAUUUCAUUUUAUUUUCUUGUGCAUAUUUCACCAACACUUAGUGAGUGAGAGUGUGUGUAUAAUUGGGGCUUGAACCAACACUUUGGGCAUUCUGCCACAUGCCGAUAAUUUUGCUCAUCUUGGUGGGUUCUUUUCUGGUUUCCUUUCUGGGUUUGUGUUUUUAAUGCGUCCCCAGUUUGGAAUCGGAUGGGUUAACCAAUGAUACGUGCAUAGCCGGCCCUGGGGGUGGGCGGGGAGGACUACCGGCCAGGGCGCGAUAUUUCGAUGGGUAUGGUUUUUUUAUGAAAAAACCCGAUAUGUAUAUGUAAAAUAUUUUUUUAAUAGGGUACACUUAUACAAACACCAAGAUAGGCCCCCUUACAAAACUAUUCUUAUGGUUUAGAUUAGUUAUUAAACCUCUUUGGCAUUAGGUUUAGACCUUUAGUGAGCACAAUACCCAAUUUCGUUAUGGCCUAUGGGCACAUUUUUUCGAGCUCGAACAAGGUACACGAAUUCUAAGGGCCGGCUCUGGAUACGGGCUUGCUUAUUUAAGAACUGGAGCUAAACCUAAAUACAAGAUGUAGCAGCGUGUCCUUUGGCUUCUUCGACUCAUCCUAGAUGAUGCUAGGCUUGUUUCACUUCUGCGUGGAGUCAACUUAAAUGAUCACUGUUCUUGGUGUCAUUACAUGAGCUGUGUGCCUACUUCAAGGUGGAGCUGCGACACAUAUUCAGUACUGCCUGGUUGGAAGCAGUCUUGGUUGGGGCGCUAUACAUGCCACUACAAAGUUGCUGAAGUAGUCAACGACGGUUGUUUAAACUUAUUUAGUUAGUUUGUCAAAUAUGACUAAACUUUAAUAGAGUUGAAUAGAAUAGAGUUGAUGGACUUUUUCAAAUGGUUGAGAAGAUGAAAAAAUGAGUAUUAUGACAUCCUUU